GAGAGAGAGAGAGAGAGAGAGAUGAUCCUGGAGUUUUUCUUUUGAUCCAAAAUUUCCGAAUCAUGUAAAAUAUCGACCUGAAAAAUUAAUUGUAUAUUUGAAGAUCCAAUGGAUGGUGACGAUUAUAAUAUAAUCAUUUUAUAUUUGGUGUUGGUGUCGGUUUGUGGUUGAUUGGUUGGUUAGUUAAUGCUGCUGCUGAUGAUGAUGAUGGUGUUGGCGUUUAACAAAAAAAAAAAAAAAAUUAAUGAUGAUCGAUGAUGAUUAAAAAACAGUGUAGUAGAAAACCAUUGCCAAUAACAUUGUGUAAAUGUUCAUCAUCAUCAUCAUCAUCAUCGAUGAAUAAUAUUCGACGAUUCGAAUCUAUAUCCACCCAAUUGUAAGCUCGGGUAAGUUUGGUUAAUUUUGCAAUUUUUUUUAUGAAUUUGUUUCUUUUGAAAAAUUUCAAAAAACUACAGUAAAAAAAAUAUCCAUCCAUCAUGAUCAUCGAUAUCAACUUUGCAUCUCAAUUUUCAAAUUCAAUCACCCAUUAUGACUCAUUCAG